GCGGUACCGGUUCACGUCGCAGCGGCAUCAGCCGCCCGGCGACCCGGCGACC
rnacentral:ncRNA from 1 species